AUGAGGGAGCCAUAAAAAGUGCUGGUGUCUGGAAGCAGGGGCACACCAGGGCUCCGGGGAUCCCAGGAGAUCACUGUCAUAAAAACGACAAGACGAGUUAUGUUGCAACCCCCCCUCCCGCACCCCCGGACCUCUGCCCCUGAACUCAGCGUAUCUAUCUCGGGAUCAGGGAAAGGUGGCUCUCCUGCCUGUCCCUGCCUGUUUGCAAGUUCCUGGUGGGUGAAGACUAUCCCAAAGGAAUAGAUGAACUAUCUGGAUACAAUUUCCCCUGACGACAAAGGAAGUGAUCCAGGCAAGCAGAGCAGAGCAAAGUUCAGGAGGCAGGAGGCAGCUGGAAGAGAGAAACCAGAGAAAAGAAAAACAAAACAAAACAAACAAAAAAACAAAACAAAACAAAAAACCUCAGAACAUGAUGGCAGGCAGCCUGGAACCUUGUUGAAAGGAAACAUGCAGGCCAUGGGACUGAUGUAUCCAGUACACAAUGGCCAUGCGGUCCUCCUAAGCCUGACGUCUUCCUGGAGGAUGCCCAACGACACAGCAGCACAGCACCUAUUCUCCCUCCUCUACCAAGUGAGAGACCUCUCUAGACAACAGCAGGGCAAAGGUAAUCUGCCAAAAUGCACCCAGGACCAGUGGUUCAGGGUGUUUUCGAGUCACCUAAAGGCUUGCUAAAAUAGAGGUACC